CUGUUCGAGCGUCAUAAUGACCAAAUCACCCUAUGGUGGACUUGGAGCUGGCCGUCUGGCCUCUCUCAAAAUCAGUGGCGGUGCUCUUAAAGCUCUACGCGUAGUAAUUUUUCUCGCUAUAGGGUCUUAUUAGUACUUGCCAACAACCCCAACUUUCUAAGGUUGACCUCGGAUCAGGUAGGGAUACCCGCUGAACUUAA
rnacentral:misc_RNA from 1 species